rnacentral:rRNA from 1 species
UACGUAGGUCCCGAGCGUUGUCCGGAUUUAUUGGGCGUAAAGCGAGCGCAGGUGGUUUAUUAAGUCUGGUGUAAAAGGCAGUGGCUCAACCAUUGUAUGCAUUGGAAACUGGUAGACUUGAGUGCAGGAGAGGAGAGUGGAAUUCCAUGUGUAGCGGUGAAAUGCGUAGAUAUAUGGAGGAACACCGGUGGCGAAAGCGGCUCUCUGGCCUGUAACUGACACUGAGGCUCGACAGCGUGGGGAGCAAACAGG